rnacentral:rRNA from 1 species
CCUACGGGAGGCUGCAGUCGAGAAUCAUUCACAAUGGGGGAAACCCUGAUGGUGCGACGCCGCGUGGGGGAAUGAAGGUCUUCGGAUUGUAAACCCCUGUCAUGUGGGAGCAAAUUAAAAAGAUAGUACCACAAGAGGAAGAGACGGCUAACUCUGUGCCAGCAGCCGCGGUAAUACAGCGGUCUCAAGCGUUGUUCGGAAUCACUGGGCGGAAAGCGUGCGUAGACUGUUUCGUAAGUCGUGUGUGAAAGGCGCGGGCUCAACCCGCGGACGGCACAUGAUACUGCGAGACUAGAGUAAUGGAGGGGGAACCGGAAUUCUCGGUGUAGCAGUGAAAUGCGUAGAUAUCGAGAGGAACACUCGUGGCGAAGGCGGGUUCCUGGACAUUAACUGACGCUGAGGCACGAAGGCCAGGGGAGCGAAAGGGAUUAGAUACCCUGGUAGUC